UACGUAGGUGGCAAGCGUUGUCCGGAUUUACUGGGCGUAAAGAGCGCGCAGGCGGUCGUACAAGUCGCGUGUGAAAGCCCCCGGCUCAACUGGGGAGGGUCACGCGAUACUGUUCGACUCGAAGGCAGGAGAGGGAAGUGGAAUUCCCGGUGUAGUGGUGAAAUGCGUAGAUAUCGGGAGGAACACCAGUGGCGAAGGCGACUUCCUGGCCUGUUCUUGACGCUGAGGCGCGAAAGCUAGGGUAGCAAACGGGG
rnacentral:rRNA from 1 species